rnacentral:rRNA from 1 species
AUUGAACGCUGGCGGCAGGCCUAACACAUGCAAGUCGAACGAGUGGCGGACGGGUGAGUAAUGUCUGGGAAACUGCCUGAUGGAGGGGGAUAACUACUGGAAACGGUAGCUAAUACCGCAUACCAUCGGAUGUGCCCAGAUGGGAUUAGCGAGUAGGUGGGGUAAAGGCUCACCUAGGCGACGAUCCCUAGCUGGUCUGAGAGGAUGACGAGCCAAACUGGAACUGAGACACGGUCCAGAAUCCUACGGGAGUCAGCAGUGGGGAAUAUUGCAAAGUGAGCGCAAGCCUGAUGCAGCCAUGCCGCGUGUAUGAAGAAGGCCUUGGGUUUGUAAAGUACUUUCAGCGGGGAGGCGUUACCCGCAGAAGAGGCACCGGCUAACUCCGUGACAGCAGCCGCGGUAAUAC